GGUUACGGUGUUCACCCAGGACCGAAUAAUGGACAGGGAACCAAAGGAAACGGUUAUGGUGCACACGCAGGAACAAAUAAUGGACAAGCAACCAAAGGAACCGGUAUAUCACAUACAUGGGUGUUACAUUAAUAUAUAACAUGGUACUGCCUUACAUGCAUGUCAAUUAACAUGAAUCGAUAUUUCAGGUUAUGGUGCACACGCAGGACAAGGCAAUGGACAAGCAAACAAGGGAAACGGUUAUGGUGCUCAGGCAGGACAAGGCAACGGACAAGCAACCAAAGGAAACGGU